rnacentral:rRNA from 1 species
UGGGGGAUAUUGCACAAUGGGCGAAAGCCUGAUGCAGCGACGCCGCGUGGGGGAUGAAGGCUUUCGGGUUGUAAACCUCUUUCGCUAUCGAACAAGGCCCGCUUAGGGUGGGUUGAGGGUAGGUGGAGAAGAAGCGCCGGCUAACUACGUGCCAGCAGCCGCGGUAAUACGUAGGGCGCGAGCGUUGUCCGGAAUUAUUGGGCGUAAAGGGCUUGUAGGCGGCUUGUUGCGCCUGCUGUGAAAACGCGGGGCUUAACUUCGCGCGUGCAGUGGGUACGGGCAGGCUUGAGUGUGGUAGGGGUGACUGGAAUUCCAGGUGUAGCGGUGGAAUGCGCAGAUAUCUGGAGGAACACCGAUGGCGAAGACAGGUCACUGGGCCAUUACUGACGCUGAGGAGCGAAAGCAUGGGUAGCGAACAGG